UACGUAGUUGGCAAGCGUUGUCCGGAUUUAUUGGGCGUAAAGCGAGCGCAGGCGGUUCCUUAAGUCUGAUGUGAAAGCCCACGGCUCAACCGUGGAAGGUCAUUGGAAACUGGGGAACUUGAGUGCAGAAGAGGAGAGUGGAAUUCCAUGUGUAGCGGUGAAAUGCGUAGAUAUAUGGAGGAACACCAGUGGCGAAGGCGACUCUCUGGUCUGUAACUGACGCUGAGUCACGAAAGCGUGGGUAGCAAACAGGAUUAGA
rnacentral:rRNA from 1 species